CUUCCAGAUUUUUCUCCUUUUUCUCUAUACCUAAACAAAAUCGCUUAGACCUAGCCACCCAUCCCAAUUUCGCCCCAACCACACACUAAUCUCGCCGCUGCCACCGUCGAAGCUAGAUGUAGGUACUAACCAUGUCGCUGGCCCCAAUUUCUUCCUCCGUCACUUGCCACAAUUUUGUCCUCUGUUACAUGCUUCUCGUUUCGCCUACCUGUAGAGGUGUUUAUCCUCAGACCAAAGUGAUCCCGAUUUGUUUUCUCUUUAUGAUUUUCUCUUCUGAAUCGAUAGCUGGUGAAUUAGGGCUUUCUCUCAAUUGUUGAAGCUGGCCCCUUCUUCUUCACUGUGGCUCGGCGUCGCCACCAUAAGACCCCUAAUCAUGGCUUUCGGGAAGAACAAGACGAUUUCCUGAAUAAUCAUUUCAGAAAGGAGGAAAGAAGAAGGCGUGAGUAACAGAUUCCCUGAAUAAUCAUUUCAGAUUUUGUUUUUAACAUCUGUAUAUUGAAAAAAAAUGUGUUCUAAAUCUCCAAGAAGGAUUGGUAUGACAGUGUAGGCUAGUGCUACAUUCACCAGCAAGAAUGUUGGGAAGAAGCUUGUUUCCAGGGCUCAUGGUACCAAGGUAAUGUCUAUUACUAUACUGGAGAGUCUAGGGUUCUAUGUACAUUUGCUUGAGAGUUUAGACCUUUCUAGGUUUGAGAGUUUAGACCUUUUAAGUUAAAAGUUAUCUCAUGGCCUAGUUAUUACGUAGGUAUGGAAGCAAGGGAAAAAACCAAAUCUUAAACCCCAUCAAAUUACUUCCAGCUGCUACCAAAUGACCUUCCUCUCGAUUUAAUUAACACUAUAACCUCAAGUUUUGUGAAUAGAAAAACGUCUAUUGAUUAAGACCACCACUAGGUAACUAGAAACUCUUCAUUCAAGAGAAUGGCUCUGCUUUCAUGUUCGAAGAGAGAUCUAUUAAUAAGAUGGUUGUUGGCAUUCUCUCUUCUUCAUGCACCAUCAAAAGUGUGUUCUUGUAGACACUCAAGAUGUUGGUAAUAACUGUAAGGUCACAGCUUUUAUUGGAGGUAUAGAUCUUUGUGAUGGCCGCUAUGACACACCUGAUCUUGAAACUGUGUUUAAGGAUGAUUUUCACAAUCCUACAUUUCCUGCUGGUACUAAGGAUCCAAAACAAUCUUAGCAUGAUUUGCACUGAAUGAUAGAUGGGCAUGCGGUCAAUGCAAGAAGGACGUCAUUGUAAGGAGGACAUAGAGAACAUGAUAUGGAAAUGGCAACAAUAGUCUAGAGUAUUGGAUUAAACUUUGCUAGGGCGGAUAAUGACCAAGCGAUCUUCCUCUUCCAACCUCUUCUUCUAUGAACUACAAAGUGAUGAUUUCAAGGUAAAAGUUAUGGCUGAUGGCACGUGAAUGCUUUGUUUAGGCGGUAAGAUUUAGAAAAGAAAAUUUGUUUGAUCAAGUUAGUUGAUUGUGUUUAGUAGAAUAUGUGAUUGUCGAUAGGGGAAGUUUGUUUCUCUUUGCCCCUUAUCUCAUAAAUUAGUACUCUUGUUAUUUAAGAGUCGUUGAUGUAUUUAUAUAAGAUUUGGUUUGGAUUAGUCUUUUGUAAGACUUUAUGUUUUUAAUAGAUUUUCUAUGAAAUAAAAAUAUAUUUAAAUA